UGCCAGCAGCCGCGGUAAUACGGAGGGUGCAAGCAUUAAUCGGAAUUACUGGGCGUAAAGAGUGCGUAGGCGGUUAGGUAAGUCAGAUGUGAAAUUCCGGAGCUCAACUCCGGCGCUGCAUUUGAAACUACUUAACUAGAGGAUAGACGGAGAAAGCGGAAUUCCAAGUGUAGCGGUGAAAUGCGUAGAUAUUUGGAAGAACACCGGUGGCGAAGGCGGCUUUCUAGUCUAUUCCUGACGCUGAGGCACGAAAGCUAGGGGAGCAAACAGGAUUAGAUA
rnacentral:rRNA from 1 species